UGGGGGAUAUUGCACAAUGGGCGAAAGCCUGAUGCAGCGACGCCGCGUGGGGGAUGAAGGCCUUCGGGUUGUAAACUUCUUUUGCUCUGAACAAGGCAUGCUAAUGGGUGUGUUGAGUGUAGGGGUUGAUUAGCGCCGGCUAACUACGUGCCAGCAGCCGCGGUAAUACGUAGGGCGCGCGCGUUGUCCGGAAUUAUUGGGCGUAAAGGGCUUGUAGGUGUCUGGUUGCGUCUGUCGUGAAAGCUCAUGGCUUAACUGUGGGUUUGAGGUGGGUACGGGAUGGCUUGAGUGCAGUAGGGGAGGGUGGAAUUCCUGGUGUAGCGGUGGAAUGCGCAGAUAUCAGGAGGAAUACCGGUGGCGAAGGGGGGUCUCUGGGCUGGUACUGACACUGAGGAGCGAAAGCAUAGGGAGCGAAAAGG
rnacentral:rRNA from 1 species